rnacentral:rRNA from 1 species
AUUGAACGCUGGCGGCAGGCCUAACACAUGCAAGUCGAACGAGUGGCGGACGGGUGAGUAAUGUCUGGGAAACUGCCCGCUGGAGGGGGAUAACUACUGGAAACGGUAGCUAAUACCGCAUACCAUCGGAUGUGCCAAGAUGGGAUUAGCUAGUAGGUGGGGGAACGGCUCACCGAGGCGACGAUCCCUAGCUUGUCUGAGAGGAUGACCAGCCACACUGGAACUGAGUCACGGUCCAGACUCCGCCGGGAGGCAGCAGUGGUGAAUAUUGCACAAGGGGCGCAAGCCUGAUGCAGCCAUGCCGCGUGUAUGAAGAAGUCCUUCGGGUUGUAAAGUACUUUCAGCGAGGAGGCGUUACUCGCAGAAGAAGCACCGGCUAACUCCGUGCCAGCAGCCGCGGUAAUUC